UACCUUUCCAAAAUAGCUUUGUCUGUAUCUCUUACCUAGCUUACAUUUCACAUGUAAGGGGUAAGAAUUGUAAAGAGACUUAGUUUCCUCAAGUAGGUAUGCCAACUGUCCCUUUGAAAAAAGAGUCCCUGAAUUAUAGUGGGAGACCCAGAAGGGAGAUAAGGAUUCUAAACGUAAUCAUUCGCAUUUAAAUUCUGCCAGGGAAUGGUCUUGCUUAAAUACAUAAUGAAAUGAGAUUUGUGUAGUGGUUUCUAAAUUCAGUUGUCAGAGAAAGAAGAUAAUCAGGUCAAGUUUCAGGUUGUGGCCCUCCCUUCUGUCAUCCUUACCAUCUGUGCCCAUUCUCUUUUCUCCUGCUUAGGUAGCUGUAGGCGAGCAGUGGGUCGAUUGCCUAUGGAGAUGUCUGUCCAGAACAGGACAUUAGUUCUCUUCUUGUAGGAUCCCCUAAGGAAGGAGGAGGAAAGAGCUGUAAAAUGCCUCUCCAGACUGACAACUGCUAACAGUGAUUAUCCCUAUCUCCCCACUGAAGCAGUGGCUCGUGGUGGUGGGGCUGAGUCUGCCUCCUUUUAGUAAGCCUGCAAAGGCAACGUCUGAUCGCAAUUAUGUCUUUGGAAUUUGAGGGACGUGAUGCCUCUUUAACCACAGCUGGGGGCCUAGUAAUCAAUUCUGGGACAACAAAAGAAGAUUCACCCAACAACUUCUGACAUCCUCAUGAAUACUAUAGUCCACAGAUUCAGACCUAUCAAAAUGGAAACCAGCCACUCAGUCCAGCACAGCAAGAUCUUUGGGAUACCAAAAAAGCAGUGGAUGGGUCUCCAGAAACUGACUUUGACAAGGGCUCCUGUAUUCAAAUAUGCUGGAAGCUCACCCACCCCUGAUUUGGCAUCGUUCACUCUGUAGGAAUUAGAAUCUUUUCGAUGUGGGAGAAGGAGAGGAAGAUAUGUGAUUGUCAGCAUUCCAGGUAAGAAACAUAUCCUCACUUUGUGUGAAAUGCAAGUCUUUGGUCCAUGCACAGUUUUGUCUAUAUCAAAAAUCAUAUAUUUUCCUAAUAGGACCUUUUAUUAUUUUUAUUCAUUUAUUUCAUUGCAUCAUGAAAUACAGGAAGGAAGACAAUGUUAUUCCUAUUAAAUAAUAUGGAAAUUGAAAUGUUUAAUGAUGUUGCCACUCUGACCUCAUAAUCUUCCUAAGAGUAUUUUCUCAUUUCUUUUCACUGUCCAUUUCCUCUGCUAUCUCAUUCAUUCAAUAUUUUCUUUCUUGUUUUGUAUCUUCCACUUGUCUUUUUUUUUUUUUAAGAUUUU
rnacentral:lncRNA from 1 species